CCCGGCCGGUUUGAACAAACUCCCAGAGCUGCGAGAGCUAGACCUUCGCGAAAACGAAGUCUCCUACAUCCCGAGAGUCAUGUAUAACCUCAAGAAGCUCCA
rnacentral:ribozyme from 1 species